UCUGACGGGGACUCCGGCUCGGAGCUGGGCCCCGAGGCCGCCAGGGAGGGGACUGCGGGGGACGCCGGGAUUUUUGUUUGGGUAACUGGGUAGAUGGGGGCGCCAUUAUCGCGCUUCUCUUGCAGGGCGCCGUUGAAGGUUAUACGAGAGGCUCCAUCUGUCCUUGUUGAAAGUGCUCUAACGCAGGGACCAGCCGUCUUGCUGACGCCUGGGCCACCGAGCACAGGGACAGGACGGGGUUGCUGGAGGUGCAAGCUGGGAGAAAGGAGAGAACUGACUCCAUGCAGAGUUGGGAUUAAGGGCCCCUGGACAAGGGGCCGAGGCAGUGAAGGACGUCCAUCACUCAUCUGCCACUAUCCUCACAUUUAAUCCUCACAACACCCCUGUGAGGUUUAUCCGCUUCACCUGUUGCCGGGGAACACUGCUCUCCGGGGAACUUGGGGGACGACACUGUAAACAUGACUUCCUGGCCUGAUGGUGGCAGGGCUGAAUGUGCGAGU